UCACGCUGUAAACGAUGUCGAUUUGGAGGUUGUGCCCUUGAGGCGUGGCUUCCGGAGCUAACGCGUUAAAUCGACCGCCUGGGGAGUACGGCCGCAAGGUUAAAACUCAAAUGAAUUGACGGGGGCCCGCACAAGCGGUGGAGCAUGUGGUUUAAUUCGAUGCAACGCGAAGAACCUUACCUACUCUUGACAUCCAGAGAACUUUCCAGAGAUGGAUUGGUGCCUUCGGGAACUCUGAGACAGGUGCUGCAUGGCUGUCGUCAGCUCGUGUUGUGAAAUGUUGGGUUAAGUCCCGCAACGAGCGCAACCCUUAUCCUUUGUUGCCAGCGGUUCGGCCGGGAACUCAAAGGAGACUGCCAGUGAUAAACUGGAGGAAGGUGGGGAUGACGUCAAGUCAUCAUGGCCCUUACGAGUAGGGCUACACACGUGCUACAAUGGCGUAUACAAAGAGAAGCGACCUCGCGAGAGCAAGCGGACCUCAUAAAGUACGUCGUAGUCCGGAUUGGAGUCUGCAACUCGACUCCAUGAAGUCGGAAUCGCUAGUAAUCGUAGAUCAGAAUGCUACGGUGAAUACGUUCCCGGGCCUUGUACACACCGCCCGUCACACCAUGGGAGUGGGUUGCAAAAGAAGUAGGUAGCUUAACCUUCGGGAGGGCGCUUACCACUUUGUGAUUCGUGACUGGGGUGAAGUCGUAACAAGGUAACCA
rnacentral:rRNA from 1 species